AUGCCGCGGCUACAAGAUCGGAUCUGGGAGAUUUCUGAUCAGCUGGAUCUCAACGAUGAAGAGUUUGCUGAUGUUGAGAUUGAUGAGGACGACCCUGAGAUCCAGGAAAGCGUUCAUUGGCUUGCCCUUGCAAGGGUUCAUACAAACAAAAACUUCAGCCCUUCGGCCUUUUACAAGGAUAUGAGGGCCGCGUGGAAUCCGGCGCAAAGUGUUAGAUUUCGGCCAGUCGGACCUAAUCGUUUUGUCGUCCAAGCAUCCUGCUUGGGGGAUUGGGAACGCAUCAUGUUUCAGGUUUCGUGGUUGUUUCGUAAUAUGGCGGUGCUCUUGUGCCCGUAUGAUGGUUUCAGCAAAGCAGAGGAGGUAGAAUUCCAUCACUUGCCAAUUUGGCUGCAAAUCCACAAGCUGUCGGACCCGUACUGCAAGUAG
rnacentral:rRNA from 1 species